CCACACCAAAAAACACCCCACGUGAAUGUAUUCUGUAUGAGGCUUUGUGCUGCUCCUCGGGGCGGCUAGCCGAAGGUUUCGCAAGGAACCGAUGUCACUUAAAUCCAUUUUAUUUAAUUACUGAUCAAAAACUGCAGACAGAAAUGUGUGCAUUAAAUUGAAAUACAACUUUCAACAGUGGAUGUCUAGGCUCGCACAUCGAUGAAGAACGCUGCGAACUGCGAUACGUAAUGUGAAUUGCAGAAUUCAGUGAAUCAUCAAAAUUUUGAACGCAUAUUGCACUUCCGGGUUAGUCCUGGGAGUAUGUUUGUAUCAGUGUCCGUCAAUACAAAAUUGUUUUCUUUAUUGAGAGCAGAAUGUGAGGGUCUUGCUCCGGCAAGUCCUUUCAAAUGAGUAUUGCCUGUACGUCCUCGUGGGAUGCACAAUAUAAAGGCACAUUCAAUUUCAGCCUCGAAAGUCUUGUGUGAUGGUAUACAAUUUUCGACGGAGGAAUAAAUUGCGGUAGUUUUGCUUGUGUUUCGGCACGGGUAGACAUCAUAUUGCUUUUUGUUGUUUCGGAGGAGUUGGUAUCAGAGCACCGGAUGCGUUGUUGAUUUGUGUGUGCUGGUGCAUUUCUUGAUGUAUGGAAGCAAAUUGGGAACUACAUCCAAUUUGGACCUGAUAUCAAACAAGACUACCCGCUGAACUUAAG
rnacentral:rRNA from 1 species